rnacentral:rRNA from 1 species
UUAAAAGGAUAGGUUUAAUUUAAUGUGUUUGAUUUUAAAGUACUAUUAAGAAUAAAUAAGUGUGUAACUAGACCGUGAGGGAGUUCAAAAUUAUUAUGAAUAUAAAAAAUACCUUUUGUAUAAGGGUUUUAUAAUUUUUUAGCUAGCUUGAUUUCCCGAAAAUAAGAGGACUAAUAUAAUUUUUGAUUUUAUAUGUAAUAAUAAAAGAUAAGAUUAUAUUUGAAAUGAAAUAUUAAUCGAUCUUAAAGAUAUCUGGUUCAAUUUAUUAAUUAUUUUAAUAUUUUAUAUGGGGGUAAGAUGUUUAAACUGAAUCUUAUAAAAAAUAUUAAUCUUACGGGGUAAUCUCUUAAGAAUAAAUCGCUUUAUAAGUGUGUAUUUUAAAAUAUUUCUUUUAGGCUUAAAAAAAGCUUAAUUAAAAUAAAGUUAUUUUUGCUAAGGUAUAAAAAGUAAUUUAAAUACGCUUUAAUUUUUGUUUUAUAAGAAUAUUUUGUAUUUAUAAAUAAAUAUAUAUAAUGUAAAAAUGAGUAGAAAUGUGUGAUUUACUAUAAGAUAAAUUAAAUAAUUUUUUUAUUAUGAAUUUAGCAAGGAUAUUUGAGGCUGUUUAACAAAAACAUUUCUUUUAGUAUAAAAUUAAAAGUAAAAUCUGCCCACUGUUGUUAAAUGAAGGGCCGCGGUAUUUUGACCGUGCUAAGGUAGCAUAAUCAUUAGUCUCUUAAUUAGAGAAUAGAAUGAAGGAUUAAACUCAGAUGUGCUUUAUUAUUAAGAAAUAAUUGAAUUUUGAAGGUAAGUGAAAAUACUUACAUAUUCCUAUAAGACGAUAAGACCCUAUAGAUCUUUAUUUUAAGCUGUUUAUAUAAUUUGGGGGAGUUAUAUAAAUUAGUUAGAAAUUUAAUUGGGGAAAUUUAAGAAUAAAUAAAAUUUCUUAAGUAUAUAAUUUUGAAAAUAUUUAAUCUAAUUUUUUAAAGAGAAAAAGUUACCUUAGGGAUAACAGCAUAAUCAAAUCAAAGAGUCCUAAUCGAUGAUUUGGUUUAUGACCUCGAUGUUGAAUUAAGAAACCUAUCUGGGGCAGUACUUAGAAAAGGUGGUUUGUUCAACCAUUAAAUUCUUACAUGAUUUGAGUUCAAACCGGCGUAAGCCAGGUUGGUUUCUAUCUUUAGGUUAAUUCUAAUAAUUUAGUACGAAAGGAUUGAUUAUUUUUAAUAGUUAAAAUUUUAU